rnacentral:rRNA from 1 species
GACGAACGCUGGCGGCGUGCCUAAUACAUGCAAGUAGAACGCACAGUUUAUACCGUAGCUUGCUACACCAUAGACUGUGAGUUGCGAACGGGUGAGUAACGCGUAGGUAACCUGCCUGGUAGCGGGGGAUAACUAUUGGAAACGAUAGCUAAUACCGCAUAAUAUUAAUUAUUGCAUGAUAAUUAAUUGAAAGGUGCAAUUGCACCACUACCAGAUGGACCUGCGUUGUAUUAGCUAGUAGGUGAGGUAACGGCUCACCUAGGCGACGAUACAUAGCCGAACUGAGAGGGUGAUCGGCCACACUGGGACUGAGACACGGCCCAGACUCCUACGGGAGGCAGCAGUAGGGAAUCUUCGGCAAUGGAUGAAAGUCUGACCGAGCAACGCCGCGUGAGUGAAGAAGGUUUUCGGAUCGUAAAGCUCUGUUGUAAGAGAAGAACGGGUGUGAGAGUGGAAAGUUCACACUGUGACGGUAUCUGACCAGAAAGAGACGGCUAACUACGUG